CAGUUACAGGACAAGAACUGGAGAUGGCAGAACCUGGGUGGGACCGAUGUGAAGAGGCAGUCAGAGGUUGAAGCUGGACGACUUCAGACCAGGAAAUGAAGGAUAUUUUUCCAGAGGUGAGAAGGUGAAUGUGUGCUAUAACUUACCAGCAGUCUUGGGAAGGAGGGAAAUGAAUUGGAGCUGUUUUUCUAAAGGAUAUAUGCCUUAUUUUUUUGCUGCUUUCCUGUGGUCUGUCUGAUAGGAAGGGGGAGGAAAGAUGUGUUUUCUGACACUAGAAUGCCAGAGAAAUCUCCUGGAAAUAACACUUAAAAUUAUCUGGGGAAAGAAAUCUCUGAUUUCCUUGUUGCUGCAUUUGUGACGUUUGCUCUGCCUCCAGGAUAAUAUCCUCAUAGGGAAGAAAGGCAGGAUGGCACACUGAGAGAAAUAUCUGCUUUUUAGAUGUGGUCUAAUGGUGCUUUUUUCUCCCUUCCUUUUCUGGCCCCAAGGAGCAGAAGAGCUGAAUGUGAUGGUGAAGACCCAUCUCUGGUUUCUGGCUCUAUCUGAAAAGAAGAAAUUCACAUUUCACUCUCUCAUCCUAGAAACAAACCUAGCAUCCCGGAAGGAAAAUGAAUGCCAUUGGGAUUCAUACAUAACCAGUGAAGCUAUGAAAGCUUAACACGGAGCCGAGGAAAAGGAUUGCUGCAGGCUGUGGUUUGGUGCCAUGGAUGGCACAGAGGCUGGGUGAGGGGCAGUCCCAGAGCACCUUCAUUCUCCUCCUGCAGAUGAGCAGAACACUCCAGAUAGCACUGUGGGAUGAAGGGCUUUGCUGCCCACUGCUCCAAGGUGCCCGACCAGCUGCUGGGACAGCCAGGAAGAGAGCCUGCAAGGUGGCCAUUGCUGUGCAGUAGAAGAUUGUCAACCAUUGUUACUGUGGAAACCUUUGAAAAUAUGCUCCAUGAUAAAUUGGAUCUAGUGGCACCAAGGAAUCCCGAGCCUUCACGUGAUGUCUGCAGUUUGGACAGGAAAGGAAGUGAGAUAUAACACCUGCAAGGUGCUGUGAUGCUCAGCAGUGGUUGUCAGUGCUGUUAGAAAUGUGCCAUGAAGCUCAAGCAAAGGGCAAGGAGUGAACAGCAAACUUAUUCUGAUGGAUGGAGGAAAUUUGAAUCUGAACUUCAAAUGAAUGCUCCUUGUGUCCCUGCUUCCUCCUGGACUCAUGCAGAGAAGCCACUCCCUUGUCCCUUUUGAGGGUCGCAAAUAGCACCCACAGCCCAGCCAUCUUUAGCAUCAAAUGGUAGGGACAGACUUUAAGGAAGCAGUGGGUGUUUGCAAGAGCUGAUGGCCUCAUCCCAAAAUCUCUGCGGAGCUGAUGCACAGGUUUCUCGGUACGUGGUGAGGCUUCUCGUUGCGGAUCAUGUGGUUUGGACACUGAGGUUAAAGCUACAGUAUGUGUUUUGGAGAGUCUGGUAAGGAAAUAAGUCUGGCAGAUGCCACCGGUGCCAAACAUCAACAAUGGUUUUGCUGUUCUCACUUUUACUUUUUUCUGUUGCCUCCUGUUGUGCCUAUGAAGACACAAACGAAUCACCACAACCACUGUGGUCUUCAUAGGCAGGGAAAUCAAAUUUGAUGAGACUGUUCCAUGUAAUGUUUAACUAAGUAUAUUUUCUGCCCUCAGUUCAAGGAUGUUGACAUGGUUGACUUCAGCACCAUUUGGUUGAUCAGGACUCACACUGCCCUCCAGCUCCGUGUGCCUCAUCCAGGACAGAGCUGUGUUUCUGUGGUCACAUUCAAACAUACUCCAUCUUGUGACCCACCAAUACUUCCUCUGCAGAGUUAAAUAAGAGGCGAGGUCUCGGGUUGUGUUAUGACCGAUAGUUGGCUCAGAUUAUUUGGUCACCACUGAAUGAAUGAUUUCUUUCUCCCUUACCUUUUGCCAACGUCAGUGGUGUUCUACCUUUCCUCUUUCUAUGCUAAAUAAUGCAAAGUGGUGUGAAAGAGGGGGACGGCGCUGAAGCAUCAUGCUCCAAGCCAUUUAAUUCGUCCCAUUAACAGGUGUUGUGUUGACUUGAAUUUAUUUGCCUCAAGAAAAAUGUUGAAAUGGAGUUCUUAAGUAGGACCGCACGUUGUGAAAUGUCAAAAAAUGCACUGUGUUUCUUUACUAAGAAUGGUGCAGUCUCCUAUGAGAAACCCCAUGGAUAAGCCAUCCAAGGGCCGAGGCAAUGAGUGCCCGAUAGGCAGUUUUUGUAAGUGGAACUUCUUUCAAAACUGCAGAGCAAAGAGAAAACCGUAUUUCUAAGACUUCAGUUGCUGCCUCCCGAGCUGAUGCACCCUGUCAGAUUGGAUCUCUCAUGUCACGUUACAAUCUGACUUCAGAUGUCACAGCCCAACAAAUCAGCCACAAAUCUGCCAGUUUGGUCUUCACGAGAGCGAUUUGAAGAACGAGCUUACAAGGAGAGCUUUUAUUUUUGGAUCCACUUCCCACCAAAUACUUCAGGCCAGAUACAUCUUCUAAAAGCUGUCCUAGAUGAAUACAUGCAUGGUGUGUGCACACCUGCAGCAUGUAAGGCUGUGUUGAGUACAUGGAUAAUGUUAGAUAUCUUUGUGGUCUUGUUUGGCUGCUGCUGUGAUUUACCUCUGUGCCAGCUGUGGGACGCUGCCCCACUGAGUCCCAUACAGUGGCCAUGCUUACACCUGUGGGACAUGCACCAUGAAAAUGACUGUGGGGUGCAAGCAUGCAGGCAUUUCUAUUGGGUUUUUGUCAGUUUGUUGGCUAUUGUGUCAUUUAUUUGUUUAAACAAAAGCAAAUAGAAGAAGACUGUGUCUUCAGUGUGGGUGAACUCAGAUCUCUCAGUGUGGGGGGGCUGCCUGCCAUCCCUGAGAGCUGCCCCAAGAUCCUCUUGGAGCUGCACUGCCUGCUGCUUUGGUAGAUAGGGCAUGUGGGAAACUUUCUGCUGAAGAAAAAUGCUGAUGUAGUGAGAGCAGUGAGUCUUGCUGGGAGCAUCCCUCUGCUCUCAGCUGGGGGAUGUGUUGGCUUUCUCUCCACGGAAAGGCCCCUGAUAGUACUGGAAGGCAGCAGUGCCAUUUAGGCUCGGUGGUUGUCUGGGCUCUGCUGUUGAGUGACACAGCACUUCUCUCUCCUUUGGCUACAUUAACCAGUUGCGUUGCAUGAAACAAAAAAAGUUGUAUUGGAAUGACAGUGCAGGUUUGUGCUGCCAUUGGGAUUUGGGUCCUUACAGAUGCUAAAAUAGCGAUUCUAUGCUACGUGUGUGUGUGUAUACUAGAUGAAUUCUCCAUUAUUUAUCUUCUUAUUUAAAUGCUAACCACAAUUAAGGUUAGUUAGUUAGAACACUUAGU
ensembl:lncRNA